GACGAACGCUGGCGGCGUGCCUAAUACAUGCAAGUCGAACGCAGUGGGGACGGGUGAGUAACACGUGGCUAACCUCCCAUCAGAGGGGAUAACACUUUGAAACAGGUGCUAAACCGAUACUGAUGGAUGAACCCGGGGUGCAUUAGCUAGUGGGUGGGGUAAAGGCUCACCAAGGCCACGAUGCAUGGCGGACCUGAGAGGGUGAUGGGCCACACUGGGACUGAGACACGGCACAGACUCCUACGGGAGGCAGCAGUAGGGAAGCUUCGGCAAUGGACGAAAGUUUGACCGAGCAAGGCCGCGUGAGUGAAGAAGGGUUUCGGAUCGUAAAACUCUGUUGUUAGGGAAGCGGUAUCUAACCAGAAAGCCACGGCUAACUACGUGCCAGCAGCCGCGGUAAUAC
rnacentral:rRNA from 1 species